GGAGGCUGGGCUGGGACGGACACCCGGCCUCCACUUUCUGUGGCAGGUACCUCCUCCUCCAUGUCGGCCCGCCUUG
rnacentral:miRNA from 1 species